CAAUAGCGUAUAUUAAAGUUGUUGCAGUUAAAAAGCUCGUAGUUGGAUCUGGGGUGCAGACUGGCGGUCCGCUUUGCGGCGGUUUCACUGCCACGCUUCUGCUCCUACCUUGCCGGUUUUUCCCUUGGUGCUCUUCGCUGAGUGCCUCGGUGUGACCGGGACGUUUACUUUGAAAAAUUAGAGUGUUUAAAGCAGGCUGUUCGCCUGAAUAUUGGUGCAUGGAAUAAUGGAAUAGGACCUCGGUUCUAUUUUGUUGGUUUUCGGAAGUCGAGGUAAUGACUGACAGGGACGGACGGGGGCACUUGUAUUGCGCCGUUAGAGGUGAAAUUCUAGGAUCGGCGCAAGACAAACUACAGCGAAGGCGUUUGCCAAGCACGUUCUCAUUAAUCAAGAGGGACAGUCAGAGGUUCGAAGACGAUUAGAUACCAU
rnacentral:rRNA from 1 species